ensembl:misc_RNA Metazoa_SRP Metazoan signal recognition particle RNA
GCUGGGCAUGGUGGCGCGUGCCUGUAAUCCCAGCUACUCGGGAGGCUGAGGCAGGAGAAUUGCCUGAACCCAGGAGGCGGAGGUUGCGGUGAGCCGAGAUCGCGCCAUUGCACCAGCCUGGGUAACAAGAGCGAAACUCUGUCUCAAAAAGAAAGAAAGAAAGAAAGAAAGAAAUGUUUUUCCUGUUAUCCUGGCUGGAGUGCAGUGGCACGAUCACAGCUCACUGCAGUCUUUACCUCCUGGGCUUAAUUGGUCCUCCUGCCUCAG